rnacentral:tRNA from 1 species
GGGCGCAUAGCUCAGCCGGUUAGAGCGCGUGCCUCACAUGCACGAGGUCAGAGGUUCAAGUCCUCUUGCGCCCA